UACGUAGGGUGCAAGCGUUGUCCGGAAUUAUUGGGCGUAAAGAGCUCGUAGGCGGCUUGUCGCGUCGGCUGUGAAAACCUGGGGCUCAACCCCGGGCCCUGCAGCCGAUACGGGCAAGCGUAGAAUUCGGUAGGGAGGACUGGAAUUCCUGGUGUAGCGGUGAAUGACGCAGAUAUCUGGAGGAACACCGGUGGCGAAGGCGGCAUCCUGGACCGGUAUUGACGCUGAGGCGCGAAAGCCAGGGGAGCAAAGCGGG
rnacentral:rRNA from 1 species